rnacentral:lncRNA from 1 species
UGUUCAUGUGAUUAGCGAGAAAACUAUGGAUGUUUCUUCAGCGUCCAAAAACCCAUAACAUGGGGAUAUAAUUCAGUGUUGGCUGAAAAGCGCGUUUUUGCGUCUUGGACGCACAAAAAUAAGUUUGAACGCACCUGCGUAACGUGUGGGUCUCGUGGACGCAGUGACUGGGGCUAUAUUAAUUUCAUAUUGAAUUGACACUGUUAUCGUAAAUCAAAGACGUACGUCUUUGCGUAAAGGUAUUUGUUGCCAAACAAGACAGCGAAGCAUGUUGAUUAACACUUCCGUUUGCUAAACCAAACCAGUUUCAUUAUUCUCUCCCUUUUUAUGACAAAUACCCAAACCGGUUUCUUGACCCAUAUCUAUUGUCGGUUUUGCAUGUAUUAAUUUUCGGUAUGGUCCGUAGCUUUGCUUCAGCCAAUCAGGUGCCACAUAUUAAGCAAGUCGGAUAUAGUCGUAAUUAAUUUAGCUUGCUGAUUGGUCGAAAAUAUCCUGACCUUGUGUCAAACUAAAAAUAGCCAGGGUAUACUUCAGAACGUGGUAACAGUGACCCGCGAAAUCGAGCGACCGUGUAGGAUGAUACGCUAUGUUAUCGCGGUAGUUAAUUUAUAAUGGAUCGUACAAACUUAUUAAAUAUGUGAUUCACAAAAUGUGUGUUGUUCAUUGGAUUGAUUGAUGCUGAUUUUCUUUACCGAGUUCGGUAAACAAAGUACCUGUCAUUGGUGAAUCUUACCGCAGUAAGUAAGGCUGUGUGGAUUAUAUGGUAUAUCACUUCCUGUUUUGAAUUUUGCAUACGACCGAGGUUUGGUCAAGGGACUUCGUUUGAACAAAUGGGUUCUUUUUCUAAUCAAUUUUGAAUGGAGGAAGGGGUAAUUCCACUUCAAAAACAUCCCAGGAACUGUCAUAAAAAAGUUAACGUAUGUACAAGUAGCCGUGACAUACCGCAACGAGUCCUGUAUUCGAUCAUGCGAUGAAAUAUAUCGUGCUUAGAUUUGCAUAAGUAAACAGUCGACAGGUUGUGUGGAUUACGAGAUUUAUCAAUACCGCGAUACUGUAUAUGAUAAAGAAUGAAUGCGAACACUUGAAUGUACAAUGAUGUAAGCAUUGUUUUUAUUUAGCGGACUCAGAAUAUUUAGUUAUUCUACAACAGACUUAUCAAGCUGAUAAUAAUUCAAUAUCUUGUGAGUCAUAUUAAGAAUUGCAAAACACAUUUUGCCAGGACCGUUUUUGGUGUAACUGACAUGUUUAAACAUUUAUAGCACCUGAAACAUGUUGACUAGAUUUAUCAAGGAAAUGCUGGAUCCUGAACAUGCUCUUACUAAAAAAACGUUUGAUAUGCCAAUUAUAUUUUAUGACUCAUUGAUCAUUGUCAUAGUUACAACAUGAACUCAAUACUCAGUACAGUAGCAUCAGAACAGCCAUUGAACUUAACUGAAUCCAAAACUUCAAAUCAUUGGUAGAUCUCGGUAAAAACAUUCACAAAUGUCUGUCACAAUGACCCCUCACCAAUGGCUGACCCGUGUACUGCCUUUUCAUAUACAAAGUUAGAUAUUAACAUGGAUAAUUUUGUGUUAUAAUAUUCAUUAAUAUCAAAUGUCCCUUUUAAGAAAUUGCUUGUCCUUAAUGUAAACCCCUUGGUUAUGAGAGCAGGAUGUGCUCUGAUGUGAACCUUUCUCUCACUUUGCCUGUUUGUUGAUAUUUUGCAGUUGCGAAAAGAUUUCUUAUUUUUCACAACCACUGUGUUCUGUUGUUAAUGUUAUGUUAUAAUGCUAUAAAUUAGACCCCUCCAUUUUUGUUUGGGACCCCUAAUUUUAUGAUGAAGGGGUCCAAGUGACCCCAAGAAAAUUUAAGCCAAAGUAGACACUGAUAUAUGUUAUAUUAAUGUCUUAUGUUUGCAAUGGAGUUUUGGUUUUUUUUCAACAAAAGGUAAGUAAGUACAGAGACCAUAUGGUCUCUGGUAAGUACAAGGUAAAUUUUUUCAAUAUGCUUCAACAUGGGGAAAGGGUCAGACAUUGCACGCUUGUGACAGUUGUCCUUGUGUCUGGGGGAUGGGGGGUUGAAGUUUAUGGCAGUAUUGCUCCCAGACUUGGCAGGUAUCCAGGUGCGCGGAAGCUACGCCCAAUUUUUUAAAAGUACUGAUUUAACUUCGAAAUUUUACUGCAUCUGCCAUCUUGUUUUUUUUACUUAUUGACUUUUGCCAUUGACUUAUUACAUUUCUUGGUGUGAAUAAUGUCCAAACUGCACGAAAUUGCUUAAAAUGCAAUCAAAUGUUUAAAAAAUUUCUGGGGGGCAUGCCCCCAGACCCCCCUAGACUUUUCAUCUUUUUUCAGGAAAACCUGCUCACAUCCCUGAAUGUGGCAUUCAAUUCCAAUCAUGUGUUGCCGCCUGAACCACAUGAAAAGUGAGAUAUGGAUCACAAUGAAUAAUGACAGCUAAUCAAUCUUUAACAAAUUCACACUGAAACAUUGAAAGGAUAAAGACAAGUUAGUUGUUUUCUGUUUCAGCAUGUUCAGGGUUGUGGGGAGGUUCACAGACAUCCUCAGGGAGGAUACCAAGUAUUGAAAUGUCCGGAUGAAUAAAAGAGACAGUCAUCUGUGGAGCAUCAAUGCAAAGAAAGACCAUAGAAGAGCAACAAAACUGAAGUCCUGCUUGAGAUCCCUAGAUGAGUAUUCCAGGUUGACAGUCUGGAAGGACGAGACAAGGGAGUCCUAAACAGAGGCUGCACCCCUUCAGAUAUCAGAGGUGAUUUGCAGACAGCGAUGACGAGGGUCCUGUUAUUUCAAUGGAGGCCGACCGAGAAGUUGUAUGCCAAAUGGUACUGGGACACACAAAGGCUGGUCUGGCUAAUGUGAGAAGACCAACCAAUGCCAAGCUGGAGUGGAAUUCUUCCAGGACAUUCAGGAAAUUCUUGUCUUGAGCCAUAUGGUAAACACUUGAAAGGAAUGAUAAAUGGGACUUAUUGUCUUUAAAUGUGGACCCAAACACCAAAUGGAAAGUUCACAAUUCUACUAACACAAUGCAGCAGAGAUAGAGUCUUACUGGUAUCCCCUCAUCCUGGUUCCUGUUCAUCCAUGGCAAUAUAGAAAGAAAAGGAGGAUUGAGGGAAAGUAAGUUCUCUGAACUGGUGAACAUAAUCCGUAGGUACUGUCAAGCGAACAGUUAUCACACUCUGUUAUGAGUAUUGAAGAAUAGGAUGAAAUUGCAUACUGCAUCAGGGACCAUCAUUUUAACACUGUUCAAUGUGCGAUAUACUGUAGGCA